GGGAAAUUGGGAAAAGGUUCAGUCUGGCUGAGUCACUUCAAGAAAGAGGGUAGAGAGAGCAGUCUAAGCCAAAUGCCACUGCUUCUGCAUGUGUCUUCUCUCUUGACUGUGGCCAUUGAGAAGUUGUUGGCGAGGGGAGACCCAUGAUGGGAUUCUUACUUAAGAAAAGUUACUCUGCUUCUGCGCUGAUGGAGGGGAGAAUGGACUGGAAGAAGCAAGCCAGGAGGUCUCUAGGCAAUUAUGGAGCCAUUGAAAUCCUUCAGGCUCUGAGAGGGGCAUCUGGGUGGCACAGCGGUUAAGCGUCUGCCUUCGGCUCAGGGCGUGAUCCCGGCGUUAUGGGAUCGAGCCCCACAUCAGGCUCCUCUGCUAUGAGCCUGCUUCUUCCUCUCCCACUCCCCCUGCUUGUGUUCCCUCUCUCGCUGGCUGUCUCUAUCUCUGUCGAAUAAAUAAAUAAAAUCUUUAAAAAAAAUAAAAUAAAGGCUCUGAGAAAUCCUGCAGUAAAAUCUGUUUGACUUUGCUUAACUUUGUGUUUCUGAAAUUUAUUUGAUUUUGGAGUCACGUUUUCACAUAACAUACAGGACUUUCUAAGGAAUUCAUGCUCUGUGGGACUCUGGGAAAUACUGAUUUUUGUGUUUUGGGAGUAGUCUGGGGAAGCCAAUGUCUCUGAACCAGAAUCCAGUCUAAAUAUGGAUCAUUCUGGGUGUAGAGUUGUGUUUCAUUCUCAGUUCCUUUUCUUCACUGCCUCUUCCCCCAAGAUUGUGACUCAGGAAGAAAGGAAUGGGCUGACCAUGCCAGAGUUGUAGGGCUAGCAGGAUGGGGUGAGGCUUGCGAGUCUAGCCCAAGCCUUGGAGAACUCCUACUCAUCCUUCAAUACCCCAUUCCAAUGUUAACUUCUCUCGGAAGGCUUCCCAUCUUGCCCAGGUGGAAUUAGUUGGCCAUUCCUCCAUGAGAAGGUCUAUGGCCUCUAGAGUGAAUGUCAUACUCAACAUGUACCACACUUAACUCUAGUUAUCUGUUACAUGACCAUCUCCUCCCAGCUAGACCAUGAACUUCUUCAGGGCAGGCUUCCACGUGUGUGUUAUCUUGGUGCUCUCAGAAAACAUGUGAUCAAGACCAGAUUUCCUUCAUCACCUUCUCUGAAUUCCUAAUGACUCAUUCAAAGAGAGGAGGCGUGAAGAGAUGGCUCUGGGUCUUCUGAGACUGGGAGAGGACAUCUGUGCUCUGACACCCCUGCUGGUUCCCAUUGCCUUAGGGGGAGGAAUCAGUUUCCUCUGAUGGCCAAAUGCAUGAUUCAAGGCCUGCCUGGGGUUCCUGGGAAGCAGGAGAUGAAAAAUGGGAUUACUGAGAGGACUAGAGAGCAAAGGUCAAUGAAAGAGCAGAGAGACCCACCAGAAUGAUGAGAAGAAAAGCUAGCUCCCAGGGCCCGCUCCAGAGUUUGUGUGCCAUUAACUGUCCCUUGGUGGCGUAUGUAGA
rnacentral:lncRNA from 1 species